GACGAACCGUGCGAACGUUGUUCGGAAUCACUGGGCAUAAAGGGCGCGUAGGCGGCUUAUCAAGUCAGGGGUGAAAUCCGGCAGCUCAACUGUCGAAGUGCCUUUGAUACUGAUGAGCUAGAGGGAGAUAGGGGUAUGCGGAACUUCCGGUGGAGCGGUGAAAUGCGUUGAUAUCGGGAGGAACACCAGCGGCGAAGGCGGCGCUCUGGGCCGGUACUGACGCUGAGGAGCGAAAGCGUGGGGAGCAAACAGG
rnacentral:rRNA from 1 species